rnacentral:rRNA from 1 species
AUACGGAGGGUCCGAGCGUUAAUCGGAAUUACUGGGCGUAAAGCGCGCGUAGGCGGCUAUAUAAGUCAGAUGUGAAAUCCCUGGGCUCAACCUAGGAACUGCAUUUGAAACUGUAUGGCUAGAGUAUGGUAGAGGUGAGUGGAAUUUCAGGUGUAGCGGUGAAAUGCGUAGAGAUCUGAAGGAACAUCAGUGGCGAAGGCGACUCACUGGGCCAUUACUGACGCUGAGGUGCGAAAGCGUGGGUAGCAAUCAGGAUUAGAUACCCUAGUAGUCC